UACGGAGGGAGCUAGCGUUGUUCGGAAUUACUGGGCGUAAAGCGCACGUAGGCGGCUUUGUAAGUUAGAGGUGAAAGCCCGGGGCUCAACUCCGGAAUUGCCUUUAAGACUGCAUCGCUUGAACGUCGGAGAGGUAAGUGGAAUUCCGAGUGUAGAGGUGAAAUUCGUAGAUAUUCGGAAGAACACCAGUGGCGAAGGCGACUUACUGGACACAUAUUGACGCUGAGGUGCGAAAGCGUGGGGAGCAAACAGG
rnacentral:rRNA from 1 species